rnacentral:misc_RNA from 1 species
GAAAUGCGAUAAAUAAUAUGAAUUGCAGAAUUCAGCGAAUCAUCGAGUUUUUGAACGCACAUUGCGCCCUCUGGUAUUCCGGAGGGCUUGUCCGACCGAGCGUCGCGUCACCGCUCAAGCCCCCGGCUUGGUGUUGGGAACUGCGGGAAGCUGCCUUGGCAGCAUGCCCGCAGCCCCGAAAUGCAGUGGCGGCUUCCACGGGGUACCUCCCUAGCGCAGUAGAAAGCACUCGCUGCCGCUUCGGAGUCCUGGGACGGCCUGCCGUAAAACCGAACGAGGAGGCGGAGUUUCCGUCGUCCACGUUCUCUUACAGGUUGACCUCGGGUCGGACAAGACUACCCGCUGAACUUAA